AAUGGGGGCACCUGAUCCAUCAUGCCGCGUGAGUGAAGAAGGCCUUCGGGUUGUAAAGCCCUUUUGUCAGGGAAGAAACAGCAGCUCUAACACAGUUUGCGAAUGACGGUACCUGAAGAAUAAGCACCGGCUAACUACGUGCCAGCAGCCGCGGUAAUACGUAGGGUGCAAGCGUUAAUCGGAAUUACUGGGCGUAAAGCGUGCGCAGGCGGUUAUGUAAGACAGGCGUGAAAUCCCCGGGCUUAACCUGGGAAUUGCGCUUGUGACUGCAUAGCUAGAGUAUGUCAGAGGGGGGUAGAAUUCCACGUGUAGCAGUGAAAUGCGUAGAGAUGUGGAGGAAUACCAAUGGCGAAGGCAGCCCCCUGGGAUAAUACUGACGCUCAUGCACGAAAGCGUGGGGAGCAAACAGGAUUAGAUACCCUGGUAGUCCACGCCCUAAACGAUGCUGACUAGUUGUUCGGGAAUUUAUUCCUGAGUAACGUAGCUAACGCGUGAAGUCAGCCGCCUGGGGAGUACGGUCGCAAGAUUAAAACUCAAAGGAAUUGACGGGGACCCGCACAAGCGGUGGAUGAUGUGGAUUAAUUCGAUGCAACGCGAAAAACCUUACCUACCCUUGACAUGCCACUAACGAAGUAGAGAUACCUUAGGUGCCCGUAAGGGACAGUGGACACAGGUGCUGCAUGGCUGUCGUCAGCUCGUGUCGCGAGAAUGUGGGGUUAGUCCCGCAAGGAGCGGCACCUGGUCUCAGUUGGCUAGCAGAGCCUCU
rnacentral:rRNA from 1 species